UGCGGUGAACUCGCUACCGUUCACUAUUGUCUCUUACCUCCCGCGCCGCCGCCUUCUGAUUCACUCCCACGCUGCUCGGAAGUCAGAACCCUCUUGUGUUGUCGCGUCGACCGAGCAUCACAUCGUCUCUGUGGUAUGUCUCCGAUGACAUUGAGCUCCCCCCCUUCCGCGCACGCUCCCUCGACUCCCCAUCCAAUCCUCACACAGCAAGCCCCCAAUCUCUGCCACCACUCUCGCUCCGGCAAUUGUUCCUCGAGGUAUGAUGUGGGGUUCGAUGGUGGCAGCGACUCUGAUUAGACGGCGAGGGUGCGGUCGGAAGCGGUGAGAGGGCGAGGGGCACAGGAUGGGACGACUUCGUGAUGAAUCGGGCAAGGGUUUCAGCGGUCGUUGACCUGCCCCCAGGUUUCUUCAAGCUAAUCCAGCCACCAGCCCACCAUCGCUGCCGGUGCCGUUAUCAGCUUAUGCGACGAAGCAAUUCUGGAAGGCCGAGACUACAACGGAAAGCCGCUCUUUGAUGGGGUGGCUAGCAGACACGUGAAUAAACGUUUUGCUCAAUCUACUCCAUGUCCCAGGCUGUUGCAAGAGCAGCAUCAGUUAAUUGAUCAGAAUGACAGUGACCCAAUUUCCAUGUGUGCUCUGCCUACGGCGCCCUCAGCAAAACCAAAACCUGAUGUUGUGCUGUUCUCUUCAAUUAUUUUGUUAAAUUUUUACGUUGACAUGCCAGUUAUAUAUAAAGACAGAAGAUGUAUACCAGUCUUGGUAUGGCAACGUUCCUUCUUUUAAAAAAUCCUUGCAUUCUUAUUUAGUAGUAUGUAUUGUUUUGAAGGUUGUAAAUUAUAGUGGAUGAAUUCAUUGUGCAUGCAUUGAGCAGAAGCCAUCACCAUACUAAAUGCAGAUUGUUCUCUCAACUCCAA